CCUACGGGAGGCAGCAGUGAGGAAUAUUGGUCAAUGGACGAGAGUCUGAACCAGCCAAGUAGCGUGAAGGAUGAAUGCCCUAUGGGUUGUAAACUUCUUUUAUAAGGGAAUAAAGUGAGGCACGUGUGCCGUUUUGCAUGUACUUUAUGAAUAAGGAUCGGCUAACUCCGUGCCAGCAGCCGCGGUAAUACGGAGGAUCCGAGCGUUAUCCGGAUUUAUUGGGUUUAAAGGGGGCGUAGAUGGGUUUUUAAGUCAGUUGUGAAAGUCUGCGGCUCAACCGUAGAAUUGCAGUUGAUACUGGCAGUCUUGAGUACAGUUGAGGUAGGCGGAAUGCGUGGUGUAGCGGUGAAAUGCUUAGAUAUCACGAAGAACCCCGAUUGCGAAGGCAGCUUACUAAGCUGUGACUGACACUGAUGCUCGAAAGCGUGGGUAUCAAACAGGAUUAGAUACCCUGGUAGUC
rnacentral:rRNA from 1 species